GAUGUCAGUGUGUUUGUUGCUAAUUCCUACGUGGUAGUGACCUGGCUUCCACCACAUUCUUGUUUCCCUGAGUUGUCCCUUCCGGUGAGUUCUGGAAUGUUUUAUCUUGUGAAUGAUUGUACUAUCACUGCAUAUAAACAACAUUAUAUUUCCUAGGCUCUGAUAUGUUUCUAAAUAUUUUAGCCUUAUGUCAGACAGACAGACCUUGUGGUUCUGCCAGCUUGGGUACCUGGCCACUGGCUACUGUGUGAGCAUUGCCAAACUCAUCGACAGCAGAGAGUGGACGGAGAAAACUGCCAAUACAUUUGAAGUGAAACGUUUUAUUUAAAUGCAAACAAAAAUCUAUUUCAUUACAUAAAUUAUAACAUUUACAAUAAUUGAUAUGAUAGUAAUCUGUGAAGCUAAAAGUAUGUGCUUGUUUUAAUCCAAACCUUACAGGGAAUCCCGAAGCAGAUGGGUGGGAGCAACUGUGGGAUUUACAUACUGAUGGUAGGUUACAUUUGAAUAGUUAUUGUUAAUAAUUGUAAGUUUUGUAAGUUUUUUAUUGUUCUUUGUGGAUUCUAACAGUACACUCUGUACAUGGCUUUGGGUCUUGGAUUUGAUUUUACAGAGGUAUGUCAUUACAUUUUUCAAGUUAUUUGAACAGACAUACAUGAUUAUUGUGUGUAUAAUAAUAUUAUUAUUAUUAUUUUAUUUUUAUUUUUUUUCAGGAUGACAUGCCUCUGAUCAGGAGGUGGUGGUGUGCUGUUCUCCUGGAUAACUUCACUCCACAAAUGUAUGUAGCUGUUUGAAUGUUCUUACAUGAAACAUUACUCUGUACUAUAUCUUCCAAUAUACCUACCUCUUGUCAUUUGUUCUUUUAGCGCUCAACCACUGAGGGGAGGAGCUUCAGCAUUUAAAAGACAAUGUCUUCAGGCAGAGUCCAGCGAACCAGAGUAUGCAGUUGUGACAACAAUCUAUCAGCUUCCCCUGGAAAUCCUUUCCGAAAUCCUUAGUGAAGUUAUUUUGUCAACGGGUGACUCUGCAUAUUUGACACUUUCUCUGGUGUGCAAAUGUUUUAGGGAUGUGGUCACUCGAGAAGUUUUUCAGAAAGCGGCACACUUUGCCUGGCUAGACAGUAAGAUUUUUUUUUCGCCCUGUUCAAUGCACAUUCUCCAGUUGAAUUUUGUAGUAUGAGGCAGUUAAAUUUUUUUUAUUUCUCUUUCCUGUAUUUUGUCUUUACACUCUAAGGUGUAGUCAACUGGAAGAAUUUCUCUCCCGUCUACCGGAACAAGUUCCGACAGAUGUACAUCAUCAGGGAAUGCUUGCAGUGCAGAGCCCUUUUUAAGUCAUACCCACCAGGGUACAGGGUUCCUGUGGUGAACUUCUGGGCUUUUACUUGGAUGUUUGUACAGGAUUUUGCUCCCAGGACUGUUUUUUGGCUGCAGGAAACACAUUGGAGUUUUAAGUUCAUAGAAGGGGAAGAAAGAAUGAACUGAGAUCAACUGGAUUUGAUGUAUUGAUUGAUGUCAUUUAAAAUUAAACUUUGCAGUGUGUAGUGUUUUAAUAAAAAAAGCUAUGGCAAACA
ensembl:lncRNA